CAGUCGCCGCGGGAAUACGAAGGGGGCUAGCGUUGCUCGGAAUCACUGGGCGUAAAGGGUGCGUAGGCGGGUCUUUAAGUCAGGGGUGAAAUCCUGGAGCUCAACUCCAGAACUGCCUUUGAUACUGAAGAUCUUGAGUUCGGGAGAGGUGAGUGGAACUGCGAGUGUAGAGGUGAAAUUCGUAGAUAUUCGCAAGAACACCAGUGGCGAAGGCGGCUCACUGGCCCGAUACUGACGCUGAGGCACGAAAGCGUGGGGAGCAAACAGGAUUAGAUACCCGAGUAGUCCCUGUCUCUUAUAC
rnacentral:rRNA from 1 species